CGAGGACACGUGAUCCAAAUUUUGGCGGUUGAGGAGCAACCACCACUUUUUCUCUAAAAUUUCGUAGGGUGCUCAAAAUACACAAACAAAUCCGAAAAUGAGAAUAGCAGGUGGAGCCACGGUGUGCUCCGGGCACCGUUCCCUCUCACUUCCGUACUCAACUCGGUCACGACCCACUUCGACUCAAUCGCAACUCAUAUGGCGUAGGAGAAGUAGUAGUCGCACCAAUGGAAGUGCUAAGGUUUUCUUGCAAGCCAAUAAGAGAAAGUUAGUGUUGCUCAGUCCUCUCAGAGCCGCUGAAUCUGAUUCGUCGUCCACACAAACCGCUUUGUCGGUUGAAAUUCCCAAUAACAAUUACAAUAAAACCCUCAUUUCCGAUGAUGGCUUCUCUCUUUCUAAGGUUUCAUUUGGAGUGGUUGGUCUAGGUGUUGGACUUUCACUCUUGUCCUAUGGUUUUGGGGCAUAUUUUAAUGUUCUACCUGGAUCUGAAUGGUCUGCUAUAAUGUUAACGUAUGGCUUCCCGCUUGCAAUUAUUGGCAUGGCACUUAAGUAUGCAGAACUCAAGCCAGUUCCAUGCCUCACAUAUUCUGAUGCUCAAAGCUUGAGUGAAAAAUGUGCAACUCCAAUUCUUAAACAGGUAAAGAGCGAUGUCACUAGAUUUCGUUAUGGGGAUGAACAACAUUUGGACGAGGCAUUGAAACGGAUAUUCCAAUAUGGUCAAGGAGGCGGAAUACCAAGAAGGAGCGCACCCGUUCUACACAUGAUCCGUGAAGAAGCUCUUUGCAAUUCAUUUCUGAGUUAACUCAAAGUGUAUUAAGAUUGGCCUAUAGAAAAGUCUAUUUCACUCCAUAUCUACAUGAGUUGAUUGUCACUGAUGAUGGUAAAUACAGUUUGGUGUUGGUUUUUGAGGCCAAGGCUCUACAGUUGUCAGAUUUUGAACAGAGACAGGCUAAAUUUGCAUCAUUUUUCGGGCCAGGAAUUACAGCUGAAGUUGGUAAGGGUGAAAAAGAUUUAUACGAGGUUCGUCUUAUCUCCAAUACAGACCCCAAAUCAUCUUCUUCAUGAAGUUCUUGAUCGUUUUAUUCUACUCUUCUAUCUUAUUUGCUUUAGAUAAAUCACAAGACUUGGGUCCUUUGAAUGAUGUAAAAGUAUUAGAUUUAAAUGUAUUCAAUCAUUGUAAAUUA